rnacentral:pre_miRNA from 1 species
AACUAGCUCUGUGGAUCCUGACAGACAGCCUGAUAGACAGGAUCCACAGAGCUAGUCCA